UCUCGGGUGACGAGCGGCGGACGGGUGAGUAAUGUCUGGGAAACUGCCUGAUGGAGGGGGAUAACUACUGGAAACGGUAGCUAAUACCGCAUAACGUCGCAAGACCAAAGUGGGGGACCUUCGGGCCUCAUGCCAUCAGAUGUGCCCAGAUGGGAUUAGCUAGUAGGUGGGGUAAUGGCUCACCUAGGCGACGAUCCCUAGCUGG
rnacentral:rRNA from 1 species